GACAGAGGGUGCAAACGUUGCUCGGAUUUACUGGGCGUAAAGCGCGUGUAGGCGGGACGAUAAGUCGGGUGUGAAAUCCCUGGGCUCAACCUAGGAACUGCAUCCGAAACUGUCGUUCUAGAGUGGUGGAGAGGAGAGCGGAAUUCCCGGUGUAGAGGUGAAAUUCGUAGAUAUCGGGAGGAACAUCGGUGGCGAAGGCGGCUCUCUGGACACUUACUGACGCUGAGACGCGAAAGCGUGGGGAGCAAACAGG
rnacentral:rRNA from 1 species